rnacentral:rRNA from 1 species
UACGAAGGGGGCUAGCGUUGCUCGGAAUUACUGGGCGUAAAGCGCACGUAGGCGGAUUGUUAAGUCGGGGGUGAAAUCCUGGAGCUCAACUCCAGAACUGCCUUCGAUACUGGCGAUCUCGAGUUCGGGAGAGGUGAGUGGAACUGCGAGUGUAGAGGUGAAAUUCGUAGAUAUUCGCAAGAACACCAGUGGCGAAGGCGGCUCACUGGCCCGAUACGGACGCUGAGGUGCGAAAGCGUGGGGAGCAAACAGG